UGAGGAAUAUUGGUCAAUGGGCGAGGGCCUGAACCAGCCAAGUCGCGUGAGGGAAGACGGUCCUACGGAUUGUAAACCUCUUUUGUCGGGGAGCAAUAAAGCGUACGCGUACGCAGAUGCGAGUACCCGAAGAAAAGCAUCGGCUAACUCCGUGCCAGCAGCCGCGGUAAUACGGAGGAUGCGAGCGUUAUCCGGAUUUAUUGGGUUUAAAGGGUGCGCAGGCGGAAAGUGCAAGUCAGCGGUCAAACGACGGGGCUCAACCCCGUCUCGCCGUUGAAACUGUCUUUCUAGAGUGAGCGAGAAGUAUGCGGAAUGCGUGGUGUAGCGGUGAAAUGCAUAGAUAUCACGCAGAACUCCGAUUGCGAAGGCAGCAUACCGGCGCUCAACUGACGCUCAUGCACGAAAGCGUGGGUAUCGAACAGGAUUAGAUACC
rnacentral:rRNA from 1 species